AACCACAUGACGGGGUGCAAGGAGAAGUUCCUCGAGCUAGAAUAUGAUGUUCAAGGCUCGGUCAAGUUCGGUGAUGGUUCAAAUGUGGAGAUUUGUGGGCAAGGUUCUGUCCUCUUCGAGGGUCUCACAGGAGAACAUCGCAUACUCACCGGAGUGUACUACAUCCCACGGCUUCGCAACAACAUCAUCUCUGUUGGGAAACUUGAUGAGAAUGGAUGCAAGGUGGAUAUUGAGAACGGAGUGAUGACGAUCUUCGACAACCUCCAAAACGUGCUAGCGCGUGUGAAUCGCGCGCGGAACAGGCUCUAUAUCCUCAACCUUGAUCUAUCUCAACCGGAGUGUUGGCUCGCCAAGAGUAAUGAUGAUUCGUGGUUAUGG
rnacentral:rRNA from 1 species